GCCCAGUGCCUUUCAGUUAGGCUGGCCCCACAGAGGAUGCAGCAGCUAGCCUCGAUAAGGCUCUGGAGGGCAGUGGGGGCAGGGUGGGGAGGCCCAUCUUCCCAAACCAUAACUGUUAUCAAGACCUUGAACUGUUGCAUAUCUAUAUAUUCUUGUGGUGACAGUGGCCUUAGGGGAACAUUAGGUAGGAGCUGUGCAAGCUCCGUUAAAUAACGUCACUGACUUACCUGGUGGCCUUUUGGACCGAUUCUGGAAAGUUUUCAAACCCGUCACAGGAAAGGGACAGUAAAUUGGGAAACGUGUGAGCUCUUGGCUUGAGCUGACCACGCCGCAGAUACUUCCUUUGAAGCACAAGGCUGAAGAGGUUUAGCCAGGUUUUUCUGACAAGAGAGCUGGCAUGCCUCAUGCUUUUUAAGUGAUCUCACUUUAGUGAAGCCCAGAACCAACGAAGUAAGGCUUUUUAAGGGCCUGUAGCUUUACCCUAUACCACCAGGCUCCUAUACCUAGUUCACAGGGUUCUGCCAAGCCCUAGGAGACUAGGGCUUUCUGUGUAAGCUAUUUUCCUCCUCCUCCUUUUUGUAUCAAACCCUUGUCCUCAAGUAUGAGAGGUAUUCUUUCUAGACAAGAAGAAAAAAAUCAUUCCCCAAGUGACUCUUAAGUCACUUUGAUGUCAUUGGAGAAGUCACUGUAACAAGAAUAUCAUGAGGCUCAAGGGAUUAAACUAAAGAAUAUUUUCUUCCAGAAAUUAGGCCCUGGGAGGGAAACUUCCUUUUAUCCUUUAGGGUGGGUGUAAUGGCCUGUAGGAAGCUUUGAAGCUUGAGACAGUAAUUUAUGACAAUCUUAAGUGCAAAUCCUGGUGUGAUUUUAGACUUCAGUCUGGGUGUGGAAACACCAGCAUGGACAGACACUGUGGGAUAGAAAAGCGGGAGGUGUCCUUUCUGAAGCCACAAACUGGGAAAAUGAAAUGGGGUUCCCAGGAAAAGGCUGCAGGGGUGUUUACGAAAGUCUAUCUUUAUCCUGUGGUGGGGUCAUUCUUAAGUCUCAUUUUAAAGUAGCUUAGACCUAUAUAUAAAUAACCACAUGGUCAUUGAUAGAGAUGUUUCAUUAUUUUUAAUUCUGGGUGUCCUGACCCAAAGACACAGAGAAAUAGACCCCUCCCCCUUUCGGCAGUUACAACCUUGUCAUUCUAAGUGAUCCUGAAAAAGGAAACAACACAGGGAGAUGAUGAAACAGCGGUUUAGCUAUAAUCCUAAGGGCUCUUAAGAAUUUGGGAUUUCACCUUGUGGGAAUCGAAUACCCUCUAAGUGUUGUGGUCCAGGAUGUGGUGCCGAGCAGCGGAGUUGGGUGCAGCUAAUGCAUGGUCUUUGUUUGAUCCAUUGUUCUCAUGAACCACACCCUCCUGGUUUGUCUAGAUCCUCUUCUAGUGCUUUACCAUUAACUGUGUCAGUUGCCCACCUUCCAAAAUUAGAAAGCCUUCUUUCAUUUUUGAUGAUUUUCUUUCUCUCUGCUCUCCAUGUUAGCAUCACCCAAAUGCCCGGGGCUCGUGGCUACUAUGUUCCCUGCCCUGUCUGGGACUUCUGUCCUCUGCGCUCAGUGCUAGAGUGCCGCAUGUAGAUGGGAACCUGGGGUCUGUCCUGCUACAGCGUAUGCUAAGUCCUCUCCAGCUGAGAUCAUAGAUGGAAAACAAUAAGCUUCGGAGCCCAGAUGAGAUCUAAGAAGGGGUGGGGGGGAGAUUGGACUUUGAUGAGAAAAUGGGAUGGAAACACAAAGAAUGUGGAUUUGGCACAAAUCCAAAGUUUUUCUUGUGUUAUGAGUUGUUUUGGUGGCCCUUGCUGUCACUCAAGUCACCAAUUGUUGCUCAUUGGGUGAAGCUACAGACCCUUGAAAGAGUCAGUUUCUAGGUUGAUGGUAAUUGGAAGAGCUUCUGAGUGAUGCCCGAGUCACAGAAGGGAGUGAGUCACUUGUGAACUGAUGGAUGCCUCCGUGGGUGCUUAGAUGCCCUGCGUAGUUAUUGCUUCUCUUUCACAUAAACUUAAGUCGGUCUGAUCCUUGCCAUAAAGAAAAACUGUAUUCAGAAGAGAUGAAACUAAAAAGAGUGUUAUCAAAGCAGAAACCCAGAUGAGAAUAUGGAUAGAAAGUAGAAAAUGGUUCCAGCAACAGAGAUGGGGGGUCGGGCAGAAGAUGAAGAAUUAUCAAGAAAAAGAGGAACACCCUAAGGAAAAGGGCAAAGGGAAGGUGGGCCAGACUGCUUUAUGAAACCAGACAGAACCAGGAAAGACGAAAGCUUUUCCUCUCCCUCUACUUCCUGUCCUCCUCCUCCUCCCCUUCAAGCCCUUGCCAAGUGCUAGCUAGGUAGGUACAGAGAUCGGACGAACAGACUCCGAUUCUACAGUGGAAGGGGUGCAUUUUGGAGCAGGGACGGAAAGCGUGUCUCCACUGGCUGCCUUUCCUGGGUAUGGGGAAGGAGGGAUGACCUUGGUGGUCCUGAGGCUGAGGUUAGAAAGCAGCUGGUUUGUGUCGGCCAAGGGCUCAUACCAUCUUUGUUGUUUCUCUUAGGGCAGUCGCUGGGGUUGUUAUAGGCACAGAAGAGGCAAUGGGAACCAGUCGGCGGAGCAUUCCUGUGUCAUGGUUGUACCUGUGGUCACUGGCAGGGAGAGCUGUGCCUCUCUUUUCUCGAAGUGCCCUCCGUGCUGCUGUGGGUUGUCUAGGAGUGGUUCACCUUGACUUUUACUGUGGCUAUCAGGCAAAGUGGAAGAGGGGGGAAAAGACACGUGUAAAACCAUAGGUGGUGGUGGGGAAACCCACCUUGAAUUCCCCCAAUUAAAACAGGAAACCAAAGGCAAAGAAUUUGCCAUCUAAUGUAUGGGCCCCUGCAGGCUGGGAAACCUGAGCAGCACAAGAAAAGGUACUACUCUUGUAGGAGAUGAUAUUAGUGCUGAAGGGCAGAGUGAGGGGCCUUACUGAAGCUGCUAGGUUUUCACCUCUAGGGUCUUUGGGAGGUGUAUAUGUUCUGUUUUACGCGCUCUGAAGACUCCUGUACAUGGACUGUCCAAGAUAUGAGGGAGCCCAAGGAUCAUUAGCCAUCUAGUUUGGGACUGUCAAGCAGGCACUGAGAAAUUAGCUGUGAGCUUCCAGUUUAGGGAGUCUAAUGGUUGACUUGCUCGGGGAACUCUUGCCACCAUGGUCUUGUCAACGCAUGGGUUUCCUGGCCAGAGUUCAAAAUAAACCAAAACAAGAAACCAAAGGCACAGGUAGGCAUUACUUUUAGUGGUAUCACUUCCAUUUUACCCAACGCUUUGAGGAAUGUUUGAUGUUCGUGGUUCUGUAAUGAGGGAUGGUGUUCUAGGGAGGUAGCUACUAAAGUGAUAGCAUCACCAUGUUUUUCUCAUUGGCCAUGGGCCUUUGAAACUUUAAUAUUAGCACUGUGCUUGGACAGCAUUUAGUUGCCAAAGACUCAACCCAGACGCACCAGCUUAGUGAUGAUGGCACCAAGCCACACACCUACUCUACUGUUGUUUCUUCAAGGGUACAUCAUCAGAAGAGUUGGAUGCCACAAGGGGGGCCUGGUUCAUGGCUAACUUACUGCUUCCCACCUUGAUUUCUCUGACUGGUUGUGUUUAUGGGCAUUUUGCAAAUUUCCCAGCAUCUGCAUCCUUCAUAAAGUUGGGGAGUUUGUUUUCCAGUUCUUGUAUUUUCCCCUGGGCGAAUGGCUCUUUUUCUUAGGUGUGCUUGCCUCUGCUCCCAACAGUGAACUGUCCUCUGUGAAGUGACUGAAUAGUUCACAGCUACAGUGAAAAAAGUUCUCAACCCCCCAAACAAACCUGCAUGACUUGUGGCUGAUUUCAGGUUGGGGUUGGGUUUGAAAUGGAGUUUAGAGUCUCUAUUCCAAAGUCAGCAAUGUCAAAUAACAAGCUUUCGGGUGUGCUUGCUGGUGGCAGUGCUUGGAGAAUGGAAUUAUAAAUGAUGUGAUGGGUCCAGACUAACUUUACAGGGUCCUGGUGGCAUUCACUGCCAUGCCCCUGUUGAUGGGGUUUGACACGGGGUUUCCCCUUGGGAGUUAGCAAAAAUCUUGAUCCCUACCCCAAAAACUCUGCACUUGAACAGAGUACCAAGUCUGUGUUCUUGUUCUGAACCAUGUACAUGCUGGAAAAAUCUCCCGACUUCUUUGGGUUUUAGUUUCCUCAUGGGUAAAAUUGGGAGACUAACAUCUACCUCACCGAAUUGUUGUGAGGAUUGAAUAUACUCUGUAACUUUCAUGUUAUGUAAACCAUUGUGAUUGAAAGCCAGCUUUAAGCAUGAAUUGGCCAUAUGAAGAGCAUGUAUGUAGACAUUUCUGCCACCACACAUGCUGUUUGCGUGUUGUCUGCUUAAACCUGGAGUAAAAAUGGUUCUAAAUACAUGUGGGUGUAUAGAAAGGGUUUGCAGCUUUCGUGAGCUUCCUAAAGGGGCUCCAGACCCUCAAAGUUUGGAAACCAGUGCUUCAGACUUGAAGAAGCUGCAUUAAAAAAUAGUGAUUGCUUCUAGAAGUUUCCUUUGAACAUGACCACAGGACUGACUGUAAUAAUUUUAGAGGCAGAUCAUUGAUGUGUUCUGGUUUCUCAGUAUUUGGUUUGUCUGUUUUGUGAUGUCAAGGGUUGAACCCAAGGUUUUAUACAUGCUAGAUAUGCACUUUAUGACUUAGCCCCACCUCCAGCUCAUUAAUGUGGGCUGAUGACAGAGCAUUUGAGACAGGAAAUGUCGGACGUAUUGAUGGCUUAUCAUCAGAUUAUCCAACUGUCCUUCAUUUGAAGGUGAACAUAAAGCAAAAUCAUUAAAUAUUUGACCCAAAGGAAGUUGACAAGAAUGUGAUCUGGAUAAUCUCCAGAGAGACUCAUUUUGAUCCACUAGGAAAGGGAGAACAAAAUGAGACUUGGAUGGAGUAUCGGGGCUGAAAUGAGUGAGCAUCAAAGCAAGGAGGCAAUUGGACUUGAGGAUUUUCAUCCUGGCCAGCAGGGAAGCACAUGGUCCUAUUGGGGAGGGAGUCAAUGUAAUCCAAGCUGGAAGAAAGCUGCUGGGCGACUAUUUAUCCCAAGGUCUCCGACUCCCAGGGACCAGACACUCAUGGUCCACAUUCUGUCUUGGGACUGACUUUUCAGAGCAUGCAGUCCUUCAGGGAGGGAACUUUGUCACAGGAGUGAAUGCUGUGCAUCAUCCCUCUGUGCAUUGGUGAUGUGGUCCAGCUUCUUCAGGAAACAGCCAUGCAGAUGCCUCAGGACUCAGGUCCCAUUGCAGAAGAUGAAUGGUUGCCAACCAGAGAUCCAGACAAAAGGCCUCAGGAUGUGAUAUCUGGAAGUUUUUCUGGCAUGGGAAGGGGUGCCAUUUUUCUGGGGGAGGGCAGGUACCAUUCUACACAGCAUCAUGGGAUUGGUAGAUUCCAUGACAUGGAUGUUUCUUGAAAAUGGUGGGGUCCUGCUUUUAGAACGCUGGUACUGUCACCUUCCAGCUUUGAGGGGUAUACACGUUGCAUCUCUUGAGGUGUCUGUCAACUCACAAUGUAUUUCAAAAAUAUUAGAACACUAUAAUGUGUACACUUGAUGACAUAUGAACUGAAGAAAAUGUGUAUAAAACAUCUUCCAAACAUAAAGGAAAUAUUGGGUUCUGUAUGUAAUAGA